AGUGAACGCUGGCGGUAGGCCUAACACAUGCAAGUCGAACGGCAGCACAGUAAGAGCUUGCUCUUACGGGUGGCGAGUGGCGGACGGGUGAGGAAUACAUCGGAAUCUACUUUUUCGUGGGGGAUAACGUAGGGAAACUUACGCUAAUACCGCAUACGACCUACGGGUGAAAGCAGGGGAUCUUCGGACCUUGCGCGAUUGAAUGAGCCGAUGUCGGAUUAGCUAGUUGGCGGGGUAAAGGCCCACCAAGGCGACGAUCCGUAGCUGGUCUGAGAGGAUGAACACCCACCCUGAAACUGAAACGCGGCCCACACUCCCAGGGGGGAGAGGAGGGGAAAAUUUGGGAAAAGGGGCGAAAGCCAUCCCCCCCCACACCGUGUGGGAAAAAAGGCCCUGGGGUUUGAAACGCCUUUUUUUGGGAAAAAAAAAAGAGAGGUUAAAUCCCCCGGUUUUCUGGCGGUCCCCAAAAAAAAACCACCGUCUAACUUCG
rnacentral:rRNA from 1 species